AUAGAGAUUGGGAGUGCUCGAAAGAGAACCUGGGCACAGGUGCUGCAUGGCCGUCGUCAGCUCGUGUCGUGAGAUGUUGGGUUAAGUCCCGCAACGAGCGCAACCCUUGUCAUUAGUUGCUACGAAAGGGCACUCUAAUGAGACUGCCGGUGACAAACCGGAGGAAGGUGGGGAUGACGUCAGGUCCUCAUGGCCCUUAUGGGUAGGGCUACACACGUCAUACAAUGGCCGGUACAGAGGGUUGCCAACCCGCGAGGGGGAGCCAAUCCCAGAAAACCGGUCGUAGUCCGGAUUGCAGUCUGCAACUCGACUGCAUGAAGUCGGAAUCGCUAGUAAUCGCGGAUCAGCUUGCCGCGGUGAAUACGUUCCCGGGUCUUGUACACACCGCCCGUCACACCAUGGGAGCGGGUUCUGCCAGAAGUAGUUAGCCUAACCGCAAGGAGGGCGAUUACCACGGCAGGGUUCGUGACUGGGGUGAAGUCGUAACAAGGUAACCGU
rnacentral:rRNA from 1 species